rfam:Gossypium raimondii Chr08_contig_728, whole genome shotgun sequence.
UGUUAAAAGUUUCAUCCAUUUGUAUUGUUAAAAAUUAGCAUGGUUAACAGAGUAAUUAGACAGUGACACGCAUGUGUUGACAUAUAGAGACCGGUUUUUAACAACAAAAAUGGAUGAAAUUUUUAUCA